UUGAAUUGUUAGCCAGCAACCAAAUCCUCAAAGCCGAAUGAAGAUGUGCAGCUAAUGAGGCCAGAAAGUCAUAAGCCUCCUCUACCGUAUACUCAACCUUUUUUAGUCCCCACUCGUGGGAAAUCAUUUUUCUCAAGGUGCACUGAAAUCCUCUACCAUAUACUCAACCUUUUUUAGUCCCCACUCGUGGGAAAUCAUUUUUCUCAAGGUGCACUGAAGGUUCAGCAGGCACUGAGAACAGCACCGAAAUAAACACACUACACUAGAGUCAGUUGAAAGAUUGGAAGAUCUAUUUGAUGAACAUUCAAGACCUAUGCUAUUGCCAACCGACUUUUGGUUGCU
rnacentral:lncRNA from 1 species